rnacentral:rRNA from 1 species
GACGAACGCUGGCGGCGUGCUUAACACAUGCAAGUCGAACGGAAAGGCCCUGCUUUUGUGUGGUGCUAGCGUGGCGAACGGGUGAGUAACACGUGAGUAACCUGCCCUUGACUUUGGGAUAACUUCAGGAAACUGCGGCUAAUACCUGCUAGGAGCUCCUGCUGCAUGGUGGGGGUUGGAACGUUUCGGCGGUUGUGGAUGGACUCGCGGCUUAUUAGCUUGUUGGUUGGGUAGUGGCUUACCAAGGCUUUGACAGGUGGCCGGCCCGAGAGGGUGAACGGCCACAUGGGGACUGAGAGACGGCGCAGACUCGUACGUGAGGCAGCAGUGGGGAAUAUGGCACAAUGGGCGGAAGUCUGAUGCAGCAACGCCGCGUGCGGGAUGACGGCCUUCGGGGUGGAAACCGCUUUCACCUGUUACGAAGCGUGAGUGACGGUAAUGGGUAAAGAAGCACCGGCUAACUACGUG